rnacentral:rRNA from 1 species
GACGAACGCUGGCGGCGUGCUUAACACAUGCAAGUCGAACGAAGCAUAUCGAGAUGAAGUUUUCGGAUGGAAUCAUGAUAUGACUGAGUGGCGGACGGGUGAGUAACGCGUGAGCAACCAACCCUAAAGAGGGGGACAACAGAUGGAAACGUCUGCUAAUACCGCAUAAGACCACGAGAUCGCAUGAUCAAGGGGUCAAAGGAGAAAUCCGCUUUAGGACGGGCUCGCGUCCCAUUAGUUAGUUGGCGGGGUAACGGCCCACCAAGACGACGAUGGGUAGCCGACCUGAGAGGGUGAUCGGCCACACUGGGAACUGAGACACGGGUCCAGACUCCUACGGGAGGCAGCAGUGGGGAAUAUUGGGCAAUGGGCGCAAGCCUGACCCAGCAACGCCGCGUGAAGGAAG